CCCCCCUUUAAUUAAUCCAGCCCACCCUUUAAUUAAUUCACCCCCCCUUUAAUUAAUUCACACCCCCCCCUUUAAUUAAUUCAGUCCCAGACAUAAAAUAUCUACUCACAUUUCAAAGAUUCCUUGCCCGCCGAGUCCGACCACUGGGUGCCUCACCGCCCGGAAAUGGAUCCUUCCGCUGAAGAUCCGUGAAGGCAGACUGACGGCGCUGCGAAAGGUCGUCAUCACGUUGCGCGAUGCCGCGGCCCGCAACGCUCCUCCCCCUCCUCCUCAUACGGUAGAAGAAGGAAGUCUCGCCGGGCCGCAAAGGUGCAAUGCCUAGGUCUUAUUUUCGGGGUAGGGCUUAUAUUGCAGCCCACCCCGAUAAUCCGGCUAGGGCUUAUUUUCGGGGUAGGGUGUAUUUUCGGGGAAACACGG